ensembl:antisense
AGUCUGCACCCCCACCUGGCCUGGAAACCCAUUAUUAAGAAACCUCCCUGACAGUGUUUCCUCUUGUGUAAUCUUAGAUGGUCCACCUGCUUGUGACUUUCCAUCUCAUGAUGCUGUCUUACACACGUUGAUUGUGGUUUUUGAGUUCAAAACCUGCUCCCCCAGAAGAGUAAGGGUUGCAGUGGCAGCAGCUGCAUCUGUGUUGUAUCCCUGACUGCUCAGUUUGCUGUUCAAAUCAACAAAGUUUCUCUGGUUAAAGAACAACAACAACAACAACAACUUGGUGUGUUCCUGUUGUUGGAUUUUCACCAGACUCUCCGCACCAUCGCACACCAACAUUUUGGGGGUUUGUCCAGGAUCCAGAGCCCUGAUACAGAAGUGCAAUUUUUUGAAUUGGCAACUUCAGGGGAAACACUGGAGGCCUGGGAAUGCAUCUUCUGGGAAGCCAGGAAAUUGCUUCCUAGUGACAACAGUCACCCUUCAUAUGCCCAGAUUGGAACCCUAAUGAGGCAGCAGCCCAUGGUAACCUUGAAAGUGGAGGAAAAACCAAUGGACUUUCUGGUAGGCAUGGAAGCCAACUGAAGGAACCAAAGUGACUCCUAGCCACGAGAUGCAGCCUGGUGCUAAACAAUACCCCCAGUACAAGGAAAUGCCAUGUCAACCUCGAAAAAGAUGAUGUUACUCCAAUAUGCAGAUGACCUCAUCAGGGCAGCCAGCCAACAUGGACACGUGCACAAUGGCCACUCAAGAGCUCCUAGGACCUCUCCAAUGCCUGAGAUACUUGAUGGAUGUGCACCAAGAAGGCCCAACUCUGCAACCGGAAUGCCACAUACUUGGGAUUCCAUGAAGGGAGGAAGUCCUAGUUUAUGUCAUGUGAACAGGAAAUCUUGGGUUGGCGAGAUGGCUCAACGGCUAAGAACACUUAUUGCUCUUCUGAAGGCCCUGAGUUCAAAUCCCAGCAAUCACAUGGUGGCUCACAACCACCUAUAAUGAGAUCUGAUGCCCUCUUCUGGUGUGUCUGAACUCAGCUACAGGGUACUUAUGUUUAAUAAUAAAUAAAUCUUUGAGCCAGAGUGAGCAAGUUUGACCAGAGCGAGCGGGGCCGAGUGGAGCUAGUAAAGGUCCUAAAAUUUCGAUUCCGAACAACCACAUGAAGGCCCACAACCAUCUGUACAGCUACAGUGUACUCACAUAAAAUAAAGAAAUCUUUAAAAAAAAAAAAGCAAUCUUGAGAAUUCCCAACCUAUCAACAAAAAGGCAAAUCAGGGAGUUUUGAGGGGUCAGCAGGAUACUGUAAGCUCUGGAUUCCUGGAUUGGCUGAAUUAGGCAGACCCUUUAUUUGAUGUCACCCUGAGGCCUAAUAAUACCUUUCAAUGGACUGAGGUUGAAGAUAAUGGCCUUCAAACAGAUUAAACAAGCCCUGCUUUCUGUGCUAGGUGUAUCACUUUCUGACAUUAGAAAGUUUUUACACUGGUUUGUGGAUGAGAGGAGGAGGACCCCUAAGAGGUUGUCACUCAAACACUUGGCCAUAGCAGUGCCAGGUGCCUACCUUUGAAAAGAAUUAGACCCUGUGGCUAUCAGCUGGCCUGCCUGCCUGAGAAUUAUUGCAGCCAUAGCCUUAUUGACAGAAGACUCAAAUAAAUUGACUUUUGGACAGAACUUGAUCACUACCACUCCUCCUGUGGGAAAGACCCCACUCAUGAGCCCCCUGUGACCACUGCAUGACUGGUGCACAGCAGACUCAGCAUCAGGCCCUCCUCUUGAACCAACCAAACAUAACUUCUGACCAGUGGGCUACCUUCAACCUUGCUGCUCUGUUGUCUGACGCCAAGGGGAGCCCCUCUAUGAUUGACACUAGCCCUCAAGCCUGCCAGAGAUCUGCUGAAUAUGGCAUUUAAGAUAUUUAUACUUACCGUGGCAGACAGAGGUCCAGGUCCUAGAAGUGACCCCCAACGUCUACGGGAAAAUAAUAAACAGAACCACAAACUCCCACUAAAGUGUAACCGACUGCUUCCUAUUUGGCCACAAGCUCAAGAAUUUGAAUUUCCUUCGGUCAUCUUCUAAGUAUAGACUUAAUGAUGCUUCUCAAUGGGCUGAAACAUCUCUGUUCAAUCUAUGUACCUGGCUCUCUGCAGAGGGAAAGAAAACGUUCAUGAUUUCUAACACAAAGCUAUAGUUUUUGCUUAGACUCAAAGGUGGGAGUCUACUCCUGCUCUUUUACAGACGCCUGUUCGCUACUUUUUCUACGAUGUAGAUUCCGGUACGAUGGCAUUGCCAAUGUAUCUCCUUUUGGAAAGGAAAAAUUCAUGUAAGAUUCAGGGUGUCAAAGAAGUCAUAAAACUUGGACCCACCUGUCUCAGGUCAAAUGGAUCCCAGUUAUCUACAACCUGAGUCUCCUGAGAAUGGGGUUUGCCCUGGUCUUGGGAUGCCUCUCCUUCCCCAAUUUCAAGGCAAAUUUUAUGUCUUUCCUAGUCUAUGUUUGUCUCAGAAGAUUUUCACUUGCUCACAGACUCCAUCCCGGGUCACCUAUGCACUGCAAACUGCUGAACCCUAGACUUGCUGAAAGCUUAUACAAACCAGCCCAACCUAUGUGAUUGCUCCCUGUCUCUUCAGCUUGGCCAGCUCAAGAUGCUUCUGAUAAAUGCCCCAUUGCUCAGCCCUUGGGAAGCCUUUCAGCCUGCCUGGGCCCUGGCAUCAGUAGCCUAACAUGAGCUGGAAGUACUUACAGAGGAGAAUGGCAUCCCUUGACCCUUGGUCCUCUCCCUGCAACACCCUGCCCCCUUACCCAACAGGCUGAAAUGGUAAGUUAAAAAAAAAAUUAAAUAACUCCCUGACAUAGGGGACAAAAGUGCAAGCCAAUUGACACACCAGAAAAGUGGGCCCAGAUUGGUGAACAGGUAGAUUUAUUAAAUAAAACAGUUCUACUAUAUUAUAGGACACUUGACCUGUUUCAUGCAGGAAAAGAGAUACCAUAUGGCUUUUAAAAAGUUGUUUCUGUACAAGACAUUAGGAAUUGUACUUUGACUGUACUCAAGAAACAAUAUAAAAAAAGAGACUUGAGAUAAAGUAAAUGGGGCUGGAGAGAUGGCUCAGCCGUGAAAGGCUAGGCUCACAACCAAAAAUAUAAGAGAUAAAGUAGAUGACUGGUAGCCUGUCCUUCUAGACAGUAACUCUGAUGUCAGCGAUCACAGGGCCUUUGGCCCUCCUGCUUGUACUAGUUUACAACGACUGAUACAAUAAUUAAAUGAUAAUUCCUUUCUGGAUACCAUUAAGCUGAUGAUUAUUAGAUGGGAGAAUAAACCAAUACCCAAAAUAGAGUUGAGGAUUUGACCUGAGACACAACCGAAGGAGGGAAUGUAAUCUCCAAAAUUUACCUGAAAGCCCUACCUGCCCGACGACCAGGUAAGGAGAGGCUGGAGGUGCUGGGGGUUGUAGAACUUGGGAAUAUAACAAAAGCCUCAUGUGAAAGUACGGCGGCCUAUGAAUUUGCCUUCAUUUACCCCUGCAACUCUCCAUCUAUAUGGUGGUAGACUUCCCUUUUUCCCAUCUGAGAGCCUAGGUCCGAUCAAUCCCUUCUGCUGUCUGGGCUGACAUACCUGGCUUGGGCCCAGAAUGUUCCUCCUAACUACUCGAGCUCCCCUGUACCGGGGUUCACCUUUCUUCUCAUGACACUCAAAAGUGAGCACACAAGGGUUGUCGUCUGACCAGGGGGUAGCAGAAUGGGUGGCAGUGGGUUUCUCAAACUGGACCAGGAAGAGGGUCUGGUACCAGGUCAUGAAGUCAUUAGACAGCUGGCAUUUUGGUGUUCCCCUAGUAGGGCCUUAACGGUGUAGGUGCAGUGACUGUAAGAUCUUGAUCCAGAGUUAACUUGUUUGCUUUUUGUCGUUAGACAAGCAGUAGCUAGCUCAGCCCUUAGACAGGGGGGCCAUCCUGUGCCUAUAGGGACCAAUCAGGUCAGGUACCUCACAGGGCAUUUCCAUAGCUCCAAAGGUUGAGUUAAAACUCCUUUUGUAAUGUUUCUUUGUCUCAUGGACAAACAGAUGACAAGUUUUUGAUACAUCUGGAAGUGUUAGUACUGGAGGCCAAGUCAGAGCUUUUUUAAAAACCUGAAAUGUGUUUUAUUUCAUCUCAGUUCAGAAUAGGCACUUAGUAUCCUGUGAAUGGUAUCUUUAAAUGUUUAAUAACUCUAUUAGUUAUUAAUAUGUCCCAGUCAGCCCCCUAGUAAUCAAGGCAGAGUUCUGCGGGUUGCUUUUUAAUCAGUGCUCUUAACUGCUGAGCCAUGUUUCUGGCCCCUGUAGUCACUUUUAUUUAGCUCUAAUUUGGGGAGCAAGGUUAAACAGCAAAGGCUGGUGUAUGGAAGAAUCUUCUCAUUUGGGGCAACUAGAAAUUGGGGUUCAGAAUUUAGCACUUGUAUACACAGCACCAAAAUCUCCUCCUGGCCGAGAAAACCUCUCCACAGAGGAGGAAGAGAAAGAACACCAAUUUGCUUAGUGAACUCUGGUGUGCACCCUGAGAGAGGGCAAAGACAGAAGGAAGUCUUGCCCUUCCAGAAAAGGCUCGGCUCAUCACAUACAUGCUCUCAAAGCGGGCAACCAAGACCCUUUUCAGACCAGGAUGGCCUCCAGAACGGAGAAGAUGUGGGGUAGUAUGAUGGCUUUCGCCUGUAACCCUAGCGCUCUGGAGUCAG